UUAGAGUUUGGAUCUGGCUCAGGAUGAACGCUGGCGGCGUGCCUAAUACAUGCAAGUCGAGCGAAUGGAUUAAGAGCUUGCUCUUAUGAAGUUAGCGGCGGACGGGUGAGUAACACGUGGGUAACCUGCCCAUAAGACUGGGAUAACUCCGGGAAACCGGGGCUAAUACCGGAUAACAUUUUGAACCGCAUGGUUCGAAAUUGAAAGGCGGCUUCGGCUGUCACUUAUGGAUGGACCCGCGUCGCAUUAGCUAGUUGGUGAGGUAACGGCUCACCAAGGCAACGAUGCGUAGCCGACCUGAGAGGGUGAUCGGCCACACUGGGACUGAGACACGGCCCAGACUCCUACGGGAGGCAGCAGUAGGGAAUCUUCCGCAAUGGACGAAAGUCUGACGGAGCAACGCCGCGUGAGUGAUGAAGGCUUUCGGGUCGUAAAACUCUGUUGUUAGGGAAGAACAAGUGCUAGUUGAAUAAGCUGGCACCUUGACGGUACCUAACCAGAAAGCCACGGCUAACUACGUGCCAGCAGCCGCGGUAAUACGUAGGUGGCAAGCGUUAUCCGGAAUUAUUGGGCGUAAAGCGCGCGCAGGUGGUUUCUUAAGUCUGAUGUGAAAGCCCACGGCUCAACCGUGGAGGGUCAUUGGAAACUGGGAGACUUGAGUGCAGAAGAGGAAAGUGGAAUUCCAUGUGUAGCGGUGAAAUGCGUAGAGAUAUGGAGGAACACCAGUGGCGAAGGCGACUUUCUGGUCUGUAACUGAC
rnacentral:rRNA from 1 species